ensembl:lncRNA
CUUCAACAAUCCUCCAGUGCUCACGUGCAGCCAGGAAAGAAAGCAAGUUUCAAAAUGAAAUUUAUCGUGCUUGCUGCCUGCAUCCUUGGGAUGGCCAUCUCUGCUCCUCUGCAGAUAUUUGAGGAGUUUGACAUCCAUUACGCUCCACCUCAGGCGGCCCAGGUUAUCCCUGCUGGAGUCCCACUUGACAAUCUGGAAGUUUUGCUCCCUGUUGAUGCCCAAAGACACCCUCUUGGAGGACCUGUCCACGGCUUUAUCAAGCACGAGAUUCCAAAUCCGAAUGGCAUAGGUACCAAGGAGGUGUUCUACCCCUUUGGCUUCAACCUGCCUAAUCCAGCUGCAGCUGACCCAGCUGCUCCAGUUGCCCCAGCUGCUCCAGCUGCUCCAGCUGCCCCAGCUGCCCCUGUUGCUCUUGCUGAUCCUGCCAUUCCUGUGGAACCUCUGAAUCCUGUCGUCGUUGCACCUCCCCCAGUGACCAGAGGUGUAAGACUAUCUGCUUACUGUGGUGAAAAAUCGCCAGCCAGCAAUGCUAUUUUCUGUGGUGCUAUGCAUUUUUUGAAACGGUGCUUUGUUUGGAAAAAGAAGAAUAAAGUCAAAAAGCAUGACAUGCCUCUUAUGAAAAAAAAAUUGAUGGUUUGCAGUUAAAUAUGACCAAAAGAAAAUAUCAAAAUAAAUGUAGCAGUAUAUUGUUUCCUCUCUACAUGCAACAUGAAAUGUUUCAUUUCUGUGCUUCAUAAUAAAUGAAACAGCUCAUU